rnacentral:rRNA from 1 species
GACGAACGCUGGCGGCGUGCUUAACACAUGCAAGUCGAACGGAAAGGCCCUGCUUUUGUGGGGUGCUCGAGUGGCGAACGGGUGAGUAACACGUGAGUAACCUGCCCUUGACUUUGGGAUAACUUCAGGAAACUGGGGCUAAUACCGGAUAGGAGCUCCUGCUGCAUGGUGGGGGUUGGAAAGUUUCGGCGGUUGGGGAUGGACUCGCGGCUUAUCAGCUUGUUGGUGGGGUAGUGGCUUACCAAGGCUUUGACGGGUAGCCGGCCUGAGAGGGUGACCGGCCACAUUGGGACUGAGAUAAGGCCCAGACUGCAACGGGAGGCAGCAGGGGGGAAUAUUGCACAAUGGGCGGAAGCCUGAUGCAGCAACGCCGCGUGCGGGAUGACGGCCUUCGGGUUGAAAACCGCUUUCGCCUGUGACGAAGCGUGAGUGACGGUAAUGGGUAAAGAAGCACCGGCUAACUACGUG